rnacentral:rRNA from 1 species
AACGAACGCUGGCGGCAGGCCUAACACAUGCAAGUCGAACGCUCGUAGCAAUACGGGAGUGGCAGACGGGUGCGUAACGCGUGGGAACAUACCCUUUGGUUCGGAAUAACUCAGGGAAACUUGAGCUAAUACCGGAUACGCCCGAGAGGGGAAAGAUUUAUUGCCGAAGGAUUGGCCCGCGUCUGAUUAGCUGGUUGGUAGGGUAACGGCCUACCAAGGCGACGAUCAGUAGCUGGUCUGAGAGGAUGAUCAGCCACACUGGGACUGAGACACGGCCCAGACUCCUACGGGAGGCAGCAGUGGGGAAUAUUGGACAAUGGGCGCAAGCCUGAUCCAGCCAUGCCGCGUGAGUGAUGACGGCCUUAGGGUUGUAAAGCUCUUUUACCCGGGAAGAUAAUGACGGUACCGGGAGAAUAAGCCCGGCUAACUUCGUG